AGCUUGACAACAGUACCUGCACUUGUUGAGCAAUGGAAUUGUGGAGAAGACUCAUGAACUGAGGAUGAAAGAUUUCGAGAAAAAAUCAGUGCCUUUGAGCUGAAGGGAGUCCAACUGAUGGGGGGAUAACCAGAGACUAAAACAGCUCAGCUGUUCCCCCGGAUCCCUAAGAUCAACACAUCGACGGCACUUUUCUCAAGUUGGGAAUUUUGCUUGUCUGGUAUUCUGGUUAUAAUAUGUAGUUAAUGUAUUAAUCAUUCAACCCUAAUUAUAAAUUUUAAUAUUACUUAGCAUAUAGUUUUACUUUCGAUGCAACAACUUGACCAAACAGAUGGAUAUAUGUCCUUGCAUUUAACUAAAUGGGUGAUUAGAAGCUAAGCAACUCUUGCAUGUUUCCUUUUUGCAAUUGUUUUCUGG